rnacentral:rRNA from 1 species
UACGAAGGGGGCUAGCGUUGCUCGGAAUCACUGGGCGUAAAGCGCACGUAGGCGGCUUUUUAAGUCAGGGGUGAAAUCCUGGAGCUCAACUCCAGAACUGCCUUUGAUACUGGGAAGCUUGAGUCCGGAAGAGGUGAGUGGAACUCCGAGUGUAGAGGUGAAAUUCGUAGAUAUUCGGAAGAACACCAGUGGCGAAGGCGGCUCACUGGCCCGGUACUGACGCUGAUGUGCGAAAGCGUGGGGAGCAAACAGG